rnacentral:rRNA from 1 species
UACGUAGGGUGCGAGCGUUAAUCGGAAUUACUGGGCGUAAAGCGCACGUAGGCGGAUUUGUAAGUCAGGGGUGAAAUCCCAGGGCUCAACCUCGGAACUGCCUUUGAUACUGCAAAUCUCGAGUCCGAUAGAGGUGGGUGGAAUUCCUAGUGUAGAGGUGAAAUUCGUAGAUAUUAGGAAGAACACCGGUGGCGAAGGCGGCCCACUGGAUCGGUACUGACGCUGAGGUGCGAAAGCGUGGGGAGCAAACAGG